rnacentral:rRNA from 1 species
UACGUAGGGUGCAAGCGUUGCCCGGAUUUAUUGGGCGUAAAGGGCGCGUAGGCGGCCACGCACGUCCGUUGUGAAAUCGCCCGGCUCAACUGGGCGGGGUCGGCGGAUACGGCGUGGCUGGAGCAAGCUAGGGGGCAAUGGAAUUCCCGGUGUAGUGGUGGAAUGCGUAGAUAUCGGGAGGAGCACCAGUGGCGAAGGCGGUUGCCUGGAGCUUUGCUGACGCUGAGGCGCGAAAGCGUGGGGAGCAAACAGG